rnacentral:rRNA from 1 species
GUCCACGCCCUAAACUAUGUCAACUAGACGUUGGGUUCAUUAAUGAACUUAGUGUCGAAGCUAACGCGUUAAGUUGACCGCCUGGGGAGUACGGCCGCAAGGUUGAAACUCAAAGGAAUUGACGGGGCCCGCACAAGCGGUGGAGCAUGUGGUUUAAUUCGAUGCAACGCGAAGAACCUUACCAGCCCUUGACAUCCUCGGAACUUUGUAGAGAUACAUUGGUGCCUUCGGGAAUCGAGAGACAGGUGCUGCAUGGCUGUCGU